rnacentral:rRNA from 1 species
GACGAACGCUGGCGGCGUGCCUAAUACAUGCAAGUCGAACGCACUCUCGUUUAGAUUGAAGGAGCUUGCUCCUGAUUGAUAAACAUUUGAGUGAGUGGCGGACGGGUGAGUAACACGUGGGUAACCUGCCCUAAAGUGGGGGAUAACAUUUGGAAACAGAUGCUAAUACCGCAUAAAACCUAAACACCGCAUGGUGUAGGGUUGAAAGAUGGUUUCGGCUAUCACUUUAGGAUGGACCCGCGGUGCAUUAGUUAGUUGGUGAGGUAAAGGCUCACCAAGACCGUGAUGCAUAGCCGACCUGAGAGGGUAAUCGGCCACACUGGGACUGAGACACGGCCCAGACUCCUACGGAGGCAGCAGUGGGGAAUCUUCCACAAUGGACGAAAGUCUGAUGGAGCAACGCCGCGUGAGUGAAGAAGGUUUUCGGAUCGUAAAACUCUAGUUGUUGGAGAAGAAUGUAUCUGAUAGUAACUGAUCAGGUAGUGACGGUAUCCAACCAGAAAGCC